GACGAACCGAGCAAACGUUAUUCGGAAUCACUGGGCUUAAAGGGCGCGUAGGCGGCCUUCUAAGUCGAACGUGAAAUCCCCGGGCUCAACCCGGGAACUGCGUCCGAUACUGGAAGGCUUGAAUCCGGGAGAGGGAUGCGGAAUUCCAGGUGUAGCGGUGAAAUGCGUAGAUAUCUGGAGGAACACCGGUGGCGAAGGCGGCAUCCUGGACCGGCAUUGACGCUGAGGCGCGAAAGCCAGGGGAGCAAACGGG
rnacentral:rRNA from 1 species